rnacentral:tRNA from 1 species
ACCUGACUGGCUUAGUAGGUAGAGCAUGAGACUCUUGAUCUUAAGGCUAUGAGUUUGAGCCCCAUGUUGGCUG